rnacentral:rRNA from 1 species
GUGUCAGCAGCCGCGGUAAGACGAAGGUGGCAAGCGUUGUUCGGUAUCACUGGGCUUAAAGCGUGUGUAGGCGGAAAAGUAAGCGUCUUGUGAAAUCCCCCGGCUUAACCGGGGAACUGCGUGACGAACUGCUUUUCUUGAGGCAAGUAGGGGUGCAUGGAACUCUUGGUGGAGCGGUGGAAUGCGUAGAUAUCAAGAGGAACGCCAGUGGUGAAAACGGUGCACUGGGCUUGUUCUGACGCUGAGACACGAAAGCGUGGGGAGCGAACGGGAUUAGAUACCCCGGUAGUCCACGCCGUAAACGAUGCCUACUAGGUUGUGGGAGUUCUGACACUUGCACAGCCGAAGCAAAAGUGUUAAGUAGGCCGCCUGGGGAGUACGGUCGCAAGGCUAAAACUCAAAUGAAUUGACGGGG